UUUAAUAUUAUUAAUAAAAUUACAUCUAUUACUCAUGAUAACGCUUCCAAUAUUUUAUUGGCAUCCGAAUACAUGAAAAAAUAUUAUAUGAAAAAUUAUAGUAAAGAAUUUUACAGCCAUAGAUGUUUGGCACAUAUUUUGAAUAUAGUAGUGAAAGAGGGAUUAGAUUCAUUCUCUUCCCUAUUAGAAAAUGUAGACCGAUUUGUCAGGAAAAUACAUAGAAGUCCUAAAAUGAUGCAAGAAUUCCUAACCUUAAGUGGUGGCACGAAAAUACCAAUAGAUGUGGCUACCAGAUGGAACAGUAAAUAUUUAAUGAUACGUUCAAUCAAUCAGAAUAUUGAUGCGGUCUUUAAAUUUUGCAAAAAAUUUGAUGAUGAGUACCACAUUAACAAUGAGGAUAGUAUUUUUCUCAAGGAACUCGAAUCAUUUUUAUAUCCAUUUUAUAAGAUAACAAACGAAAUAAGCUCCGAAACAAUAACCACGGUAGGCUUAUCUGUAUUAUACAUUAUUACAAUAAUGACGUCACUGGAACGCACAGAGAUAUCAAAUGCAAGCACUCAAAUAAAAAAAGCGGCUUCUAAAAUGAAAGAAAAAUGCAAAAUAUAUUCAGAACAUAUGGCAACUUUUGCAAAUUAUGUCUGUGCAUUCCUAGAUCCUCGAAUAAAAAAAAAUAUAUACCAACUUUUCUUAAUAAAGCUACAUAUUUGGAUCAUUUCAAAAUUUUAUAUAACCAAUAUAAUCCGAAAAAUUUAAAUGUUUAUGAUAUCGAUAACGAGCUUAAUCCAUCAAAUCUUAUGUCGGCAACGAUAUUUAAUGACCUUAGAAAGGAAGCAUAUUAAUAUCCAGAUCCAGCGAGAGAGGAGAUGGAAGAUUAUAUUGGAGAGGUUGUUGCUAAACCUACAAUCCAUGUUUUGGAUUGGUGGAGUUCGAACAGCACAAGAUUUCCCAAAUUAGCAAUGAUGGCUAGAGAUUUCUUUUCCCAUCAAUCAACAUCUGUACCUAGUGAAAGAACCUUUUCACGUGCGGUUGACACAUUGACAAAGAAAAGAAAUCGAAUUUCUUCUACAAAAUUAAAUGAAUGUUUGUCAUUAAAAUCAUGGAAAUUUAAUUUUUUAACU